rnacentral:rRNA from 1 species
GUUGUAUGGUUAAGUGACUAAGCGUACACGGUGGAUGCCUUGGCAGUCAGAGGCGAUGAAGGACGUAUUAACUUGCGAUAAGCCCAGAUUAGGUAGUAAAAACCAUUUGAGUCUGGGAUUUCCGAAUGGGGAAACCCACUAGCAUAAGCUAGUAUCGCUGCGUGAAUACAUAGCGCAGCGAGGCGAACCGGGGGAACUGAAACAUCUAAGUACCCCGAGGAAAAGAAAUCAACCGAGAUUCCGAAAGUAGCGGCGAGCGAAAUUGGACUAGCCCUUAAGCUUUUUAUGCGUCAGGUGAAACUUCUGGAAAGUUGUGCGAUACAGGGUGAUAGCCCCGUAACCGGCAACGCAUAUAAAGUGAAAUCGAGUAGGGCGGGACACGUGAUAUCCUGUCUGAAUAUGGGGGGACCAUCCUCCAAGGCUAAAUACUACUGACUGACCGAUAGUGAACCAGUACCGUGAGGGAAAGGCGAAAAGAACCCCUGUGAGGGGAGUGAAAUAGAACCUGAAACCGUGUACGUACAAGCAGUAGGAGCACCUUCGUGGUGUGACUGCGUACCUUUUGUAUAAUGGGUCAGCGACUUAUAUUCAGUGGCAAGGUUAACCAUCUAGGGGAGCCGUAGGGAAACCGAGUCUUAACUGGGCGUUCAGUCUCUGGAUAUAGACCCGAAACCAGGUGAUCUAGCCAUGGGCAGGUUGAAGGUUGAGUAACAUCAACUGGAGGACCGAACCGACUAAUGUUGAAAAAUUAGCGGAUGACUUGUGGCUAGGGGUGAAAGGCCAAUCAAACCUGGAGAUAGCUGGUUCUCCCCGAAAGCUAUUUAGGUAGCGCCUCGGACGAAUACUACUGGGGGUAGAGCACUGUUAAGGCUAGGGGGUCAUCCCGACUUACCAACCCUUUGCAAACUCCGAAUACCAGUAAGUACUAUCCGGGAGACACACGGCGGGUGCUAACGUCCGUCGUGGAGAGGGAAACAACCCAGACCGCCAGCUAAGGUCCCAAAUUACUACUAAGUGGGAAACGAUGUGGGAAGGCUCAGACAGCCAGGAUGUUGGCUUAGAAGCAGCCAUCAUUUAAAGAAAGCGUAAUAGCUCACUGGUCGAGUCGGCCUGCGCGGAAGAUGUAACGGGGCUAAGUAGUAAACCGAAGCUGCGGCAAUGCACUUUAGUGCAUUGGGUAGGGGAGCGUUCUGUAAGCGGUUGAAGGUGUGUGGUAACGCAUGCUGGACGUAUCAGAAGUGCGAAUGCUGACAUGAGUAACGAUAAAGGGGGUGAAAAACCUCCUCGCCGGAAGACCAAGGGUUCCUGUCCAACGUUAAUCGGGGCAGGGUAAGUCGACCCCUAAGGCGAGGCCGAAAGGCGUAGUCGAUGGGAAACGGGUUAAUAUUCCCGUACUUCUUACAAUUGCGAUGGGGGGACGGAGAAGGCUAGGUGGGCCUGGCGACGGUUGUCCAGGUUCAAGUGCGUAGGCUUAAGAGUUAGGUAAAUCCGGCUCUUUUUAAGGCUGAGACACGACGUCGAGCUACUACGGUAGUGAAGUCAUUGAUGCCAUGCUUCCAGGAAAAGCCUCUAAGCUUCAGAUUGUAAGGAAUCGUACCCCAAACCGACACAGGUGGUCGGGUAGAGAAUACCAAGGCGCUUGAGAGAACUCGGGUGAAGGAACUAGGCAAAAUGGUACCGUAACUUCGGGAGAAGGUACGCUCUCGACGGUGAAGUCCCUUGCGGAUGGAGCUAUUGAGAGUCGCAGAUACCAGGUGGCUGCAACUGUUUAUUAAAAACACAGCACUGUGCAAAAUCGUAAGAUGACGUAUACGGUGUGACGCCUGCCCGGUGCCGGAAGGUUAAUUGAUGGGGUUAGACUUCGGUCGAAGCUCUUGAUCGAAGCCCCGGUAAACGGCGGCCGUAACUAUAACGGUCCUAAGGUAGCGAAAUUCCUUGUCGGGUAAGUUCCGACCUGCACGAAUGGCGUAAUGAUGGCCACGCUGUCUCCACCCGAGACUCAGUGAAAUUGAAAUCGCUGUGAAGAUGCAGUGUACCCGCGGCUAGACGGAAAGACCCCGUGAACCUUUACUACAGCUUGGCACUGAACAUUGACCCUACAUGUGUAGGAUAGGUGGGAGGCUUUGAAGCACAGUCGCUAGAUUGUGUGGAGCCGUCCUUGAAAUACCACCCUUGUAGUGUUGAUGUUCUAACGUUGACCCCUAAUCGGGGUUGCGGACAGUGCCUGGUGGGUAGUUUGACUGGGGCGGUCUCCUCCCAAAGCGUAACGGAGGAGCACGAAGGUGGGCUAAUCACGGUUGGACAUCGUGAGGUUAGUGCAAUGGCAUAAGCCCGCUUGACUGCGAGAAUGACGGUUCGAGCAGGUGCGAAAGCAGGUCAUAGUGAUCCGGUGGUUCUGAAUGGAAGGGCCAUCGCUCAACGGAUAAAAGGUACUCCGGGGAUAACAGGCUGAUACCGCCCAAGAGUUCAUAUCGACGGCGGUGUUUGGCACCUCGAUGUCGGCUCAUCACAUCCUGGGGCUGAAGUCGGUCCCAAGGGUAUGGCUGUUCGCCAUUUAAAGUGGUACGCGAGCUGGGUUUAGAACGUCGUGAGACAGUUCGGUCCCUAUCUGCCGUGGGCGUUGGAAGAUUGAAGGGGGCUGCUCCUAGUACGAGAGGACCGGAGUGGACGAACCUCUGGUGUUCGGGUUGUGUCGCCAGACGCAUUGCCCGGUAGCUAAGUUCGGAAUCGAUAACCGCUGAAAGCAUCUAAGCGGGAAGCGAGCCCUGAGAUGAGUCUUCCCUGAUACUUUAAGUAUCCUAAAGGGUUGUUCGAGACUAGAACGUUGAUAGGCAGGGUGUGUAAGCGUUGUGAGGCGUUGAGCUAACCUGUACUAAUUGCCCGUGAGGCUUAACCAUACAACACCCAAGGGGUUU